GCUUGGGGGGACAUGCGGACCGACGGCCCCUGGAUAGGCGGAAGGAGCGGAGGCCCCGGUGCCCUGCCCUCAGUGCUGCUUGUCCAAGAGUGACUGGCGUGAGUGAGCGGAAACCUGGUUGAUUGUCCCAGGCUGUGGC